UUCUAUAGCUUUCUUCUUUUGAAUGUUGAAAAACUCUUUUCUUUUUACUGUUAUCAAGUUGUACAUUUGACUGGUGAAGAAUCAAAGACCAUUCUCCACUGUUCCAGACUGAAAACUCACCUGUUGAUAUAAAACUUGCUGUAAACAAUGACUCAAGUAAAGAACUUGAUCAAUUGAAUGGACAUGCAAAAUAAAUGAUCAAUUUGAGUUUCAAUGUUAGUUUGUUUUAGAUAGUUACUUAAAUGGCAUUUGGUUCUUGGCAAUGCAAUCUGAAUGGAUCAUAUUGGCAUUUAAUAAUU
rnacentral:lncRNA from 1 species